GGGGGGGCUCAGGGUAAAGACCCUCCAGGGAAGGUGUCCUGCUUCUGGCUACUAUCCCGUGUCUGGUCAUGGGAACCUUACCCUGUGAGGUAUCAAGCUUUUCCUGGAGUCAUUUUUAUGCCCACUCGCUUCCUGUGCAUAAUUCUGUGCCAUGGUACAGGUCUGUGUGUAAUGAAAGCUAUGCUGGAACUUGUGCAGAAAGCAGGCUGAGGACCCUCCCAUGGGCCUCUUCCCACUCACCACCGGAUGGCCAACAGUUGAACACCAGGAUUUCAUCACAUGUCCCACCUUUGGCAUCUCCUGGCAGAACUAUUUGCCCAAAAAUAAAAAGAAAUAAAAUUCCUUGACCAUCCC
ensembl:lncRNA